UAGGGAAUCUUCCACAAUGGACGAAAGUCUGAUGGAGCAACGCCGCGUGAGUGAUGAAGGGUUUCGGCUCGUAAAACUCUGUUGUUGGAGAAGAACAGGUGUGAGAGUAACUGUUCACAUCUUGACGGUAUCCAACCAGAAAGCCACGGCUAACUACGUGCCAGCAGCCGCGGUAAUACGUAGGUGGCAAGCGUUGUCCGGAUUUAUUGGGCGUAAAGCGAGCGCAGGCGGUUUCUUAGGUCUGAUGUGAAAGCCUUCGGCUUAACCGGAGAAGUGCAUCGGAAACCAGGAGACUUGAGUGCAGAAGAGGACAGUGGAACUCCAUGUGUAGCGGUGAAAUGCGUAGAUAUAUGGAAGAACACCAGUGGCGAAGGCGGCUGUCUGGUUUGUAACUGACGCUGAGGCUCGAAAGCAUGGGUAGCGAACAGGAUUAGAUACCCUGGUAGUCCAUGCCGUAAACGAUGAGUGCUAAGUGUUGGAGGGU
rnacentral:rRNA from 1 species